AUUGAACGCUAGCGGGAUGCCUUACACAUGCAAGUCGAACGGAGUGGCCAACGGGUGAGUAAUGUAUAGGAACGUGCCCAGUCGCGGGGGAUAACUAACCGCAAGCGACGCUAAUUCCGCACACUCUUGGAGCGGCCGAUAUCGGAUUAGUUAGGUGGUGGGGUAACGGCUAACCAAGGCGACGAUCCGUAGCUGGUUUGAGAGGACGACCAGCCACACUGGGACUGAGACACGGCCCAGACUCCGACGGGAGGCAGCAGUGGGGAAUAUUGGACAAUGGGGGAAAGCCUGAUGCAGCCAUGCCGCGUGUGCGAUGAAGGCCUUCGGGUUGUAAAGCACUUUUAGCAGGGAGGCGGUACCUACAGAAGAAGCACCGGCUAACUACGUGCCAGCCGCCGCGGUAAUUC
rnacentral:rRNA from 1 species